GGGGCUGUAGCUCAGUGGUAAAAGCAUCUGCUUUGGAUGCAGUAAGGCCCCAGGUUCAAUCUCUGGCAGCUUCU